GCAGAGUUGGCUCAAUUGGUACAGCAGCGGGAGCGACGCAAAGCUAGUCCCCGUAGGGGAAAAACCGCCAUCCUGAAAGGGUAUCUGGGUUCGAAUCCCAGGCUCUGCG
rnacentral:tRNA from 1 species